UAGUUGGUGGAGUGAUUUGUCUGGUUAAUUCCGUUAACGAACGAGACCUCGACCUGCUAAAUAGUAGGCGCAAUUACGAUUGCGCGAGACUUCUUAGAGGGACUUUUGGUGUUAUAGCCAAAGGAAGUUCGAGGCAAUAACAGG
rnacentral:rRNA from 1 species